rnacentral:rRNA from 1 species
AACGAACGCUGGCGGCAGGCUUAACACAUGCAAGUCGAACGCACCUUUCGGGGUGAGUGGCAGACGGGUGAGUAACGCGUGGGAAUCUACCCUUCUCUACGGGAUAGCUCCGGGAAACUGGAAUUAAUACCGUAUACGUCCUGAGGGAGAAAGAUUUAUCGGGGAAGGAUGAGCCCGCGUUGGAUUAGCUAGUUGGUGGGGUAAAGGCCUACCAAGGCGACGAUCCAUAGCUGGUCUAAGAGGAUGAUCAGCCACAUUGGGACUGAGACACGGCCCAAACUCCUAGGGGAGGCAGCAGUGGGGAAUAUUGGACAAUGGGCGCAAGCCUGAUCCAGCCAUGCCGCGUGAGUGAUGAAGGCCCUAGGGUUGUAAAGCUCUUUCAGUGGGGACGAUAAUGACGGUACCCACAGAAGAAGCCCCGGCUAACUUCGUG